AUUGAACGCUGGCGGCAGGCCUAACACAUGCAAGUCGAGCGAGCGGCGGACGGGUGAGUAAUGUCUGGGAAACUGCCUGAGGGAGGGGGAUAACUACUGGAAACGGUAGCUAAUACCGCAUACCAUCAGAUGUGCCCAGAUGGGAUUAGCUCGUAGGUGGGGUAACGGCUCACCUAGGGGACGCUCCCUAGCUGGUGUGAGAGGAUGACCAGCCACACGGGAACUGAGACACGGUCCAGACUCCUACGGGAGGCAGCAGUGGGGAAUAUUGCACAAUGGGCGCAAGCCUGAUGCAGCCAUGCCGCGGGUGUGAAGAAGGCCGUCGGGUUGUAAAGCACUUUCAGCGGGGAGGCGUUACCCGCAGAAGAAGCACCGGCUAACUCCGUGCCAGCAGCCGCGGUAAUUC
rnacentral:rRNA from 1 species